rnacentral:rRNA from 1 species
UACGGAGGGUGCAAGCGUUAAUCGGAAUUAUUGGGCGUAAAGGGUGCGUAGGUUGUUAGAUAAGUUAGCUGUAAAAUUCCUGGGCUUAACCUGGGGAAGUCAUCUAAGACUGUUUGACUGGAGUACGGGAGAGGGUAGAGGAAUUUCCGGUGUAGCGGUGAAAUGCGUAGAGAUCGGAAGGAACACCGGUUGCGAAGGCGUCUACCUGGCCUGAUACUGACACUGAGGCACGAAAGCGUGGGGAGCAAACAGG